CAAACCUCCCUCUAACCGGAACAAACAAACUAAACCCUAGAUUAAAAAUUCGUGUUACUGUUCAUCGUUUGUGAAUCCUGUUCUUCGUCGCCUUAGUCCUGCCGCUCAUCGCUGGCCCUCACGGCGAUCGCCGCCGCUUCUCCUUCGCCUCUCCCAGAUCUUUUGUCGAGCUUGGAUGCGCUCAAUCCUUUUUCCCGCUUCAUAGCGUUGUCGUUGGCGCUCGCCUCACCUCUCACCUCUCAGUCAGUGCUAGGGCUUGCUGCGAGCUUUCCCACAGUACCUACAUCCGCACUUGUCAAGAUCGCUAGUAUUUUUCUAUCCUGUGAGAUUCUUAUCUUCGAUCUAGGUUUUUUGAUGUUGGUGAUGCUUUCGGGUUUGUUUGAAAUUUUGAUUUUUAGGUUGAUAUGGGGAUGUUGGAUUAAGGAAAAAAUGAAAAAGAUGGUUGAUUGCGAGGGAGGAUCGAAGGCUGAUGCCUGCUUUCCUCUUAUCAGCGAGUUCAUUCAUCAAAUUAAGUAGGCAGGUGUUAGAAUAAAAAUAAUAACCAAAUGCAAAAGGGUUUUGGGAAAUUAAAUGAUAAGGACAAAAAUUGUUUUAUGUAAUGUUUGUUGUACCUGUAAUAUGCUUACUGCAUGUGUCUUUAUUUCAUGGUUAUAGUGAUGAUAUGGUGCAUAUAGAAAUGGAUUGUUCACUCUGUCUGAAUUCAUUGUUAUAUUAUAAUUGAUGCUCUCGUUCAUGCUUUGAUGUGAUUUGUUUGCUCGAUUUGAUUAUAAUUAUAAACCUGCUGUUAUCUACUAACAUAGGUAAAAAGCAUUGUCUAACAGGUAAUUGGUUGCUCAUACUCGCAUCAUCUGUUGACCUGCUUUAUUACUUUAUUAUUGUGUUGUUUAAAUUGAAUUUUAGUUGACUCAAGGAACUUAAAUGAGUUGAUAGGAAGGAAUGUUAAAGACUGGUGAUGUAGGGAAGAAGUGGAACAUCCAAGGGAAACCUGCUUUUGUUUUAGUUGGUGUAUGUUUCUUAUUUUCAUGAUUGCACGUCCCAUACAAAAUGGUUAGGGUUCAAAAGCAGUAUAUUUGGAGAGGGGAAAAAACAAUCUUAAUGAUGUAAGAAAAAUAUAGGUAUUAAAAAAAUAUAACUUUUGUUUAUGUCAGGUCAAAAAAUGUAACUUAUGUUUACAUCAGGUCCUCUGGUAUACACAUACACAUCAGUUAUUUUAGGGUUUUCGUGUCUAUUUUUUGAAGGGUCUUUGACAUUGUUUUACAUGGUGUCUACUUUUCCUAUGGUAUUUAUUAUAUGGAGAUUUAUUAUCAUGGUUUUUAGUUUUAUGCGCUAUAGAAAUUUUUAAAAUUAUAUAUAAGGUGAGAAUAGUUUAAGCUUUUAUGUUCUAUGUUAGCUCUAUAUGGCAUGUAGAUACGUUAUAUAAUUGUUUUAUCUAAAUGUAUAUCAACUCUAAAUCAUGUUUUAAAUUAUAGCAUAAAGUUAAGUUUCAUUAAUAUUCAUUGUAGAAGAUUGAGGAAGAUUGAGGUUCUUGUUUUAUCUUUCAUGUAAUAUUGUGCCUUUUUCAUGCCCAUUUCUUUCUUUUAAUUUAUGCUAUCAUUGUUAUUGCUCUAAUUUGGACUUGAGAGAUAUGAGAAGGUUUUAGACAACAUGAGGGACUUGAGAGAAGAAUCACGGAACCAGAGUAAUCUGCAUAAAUGUGGAAGAGGUUGAUAAUGGCUUAACCUGGAGAGUAGAGUCACUAUGGAAAAUCCAUCUGAUGUGGCAAAAAUGUUCCAUGAAACCCGAAAGAAAGCUAAUGAAACAUUAAGUACCGGGGAUCAAUAUAAAUAUGAUGAAAUCAUUCAAGUCAAACAAGCAAACCCUUCACUUUAGACAUAGAGAUAAUUGAGAUAAUUUGGGGGAAGCAAUCUUAUGGCCACAUCACUGUAUUUGGUAGCGGGACUACUUUGAAAGAUUUGAGAGGAGUGCUCCUUAGUCGAUCUGAUCUGGAAACACAAGUUAUAGAAGAAAAGUGAAAGAACCAGAUGCUUCAGCAACGCUUAGAUGAGUAGGAGCAACAACAACAAAGGAUGUCUAAGUUGGAGUCACAAGUAAAAGCUAUGCAAGAACUUUUUUUUAGGCAAUUACCUUCAUUGACUCCUCAAACUCGAGAACGUGUGCAGG